rnacentral:rRNA from 1 species
AACUUUCAGCAACGGAUCUCUUGGCUCUUGCAUCGAUGAAGAACGCAGCGAAAUGCGAUACGUAAUGUGAAUUGCAGAAUUCAGUGAAUCAUCGAAUCUUUGAACGCACCUUGCACUCUUUGGCAUUCCGAAGAGUAUGUCUGUUUGAGUG